rnacentral:lncRNA from 1 species
GUCAUGGCUGGCUAACAAGGGCAUACGAUAUUCACGGAAGAGAGGGAUGGUUACAGGUGUCUUGCAGCCCUACUCUCUUCGUAGACGUUCUGUGGACAGAUCAAGACCUUCACGGAAGAGAGGUAUGGUUACCAGUGUCUUGCAGCCCUACUCUCUGCGUAGACGUUCUGUGGACAGAUCAAGACCUUCACAGGAGAGUGGUGUUGUUACCAGUGUCUUGCAGCCGUACUCUCUGCGUAGACGUUCUGUGGACAGAUCAAGACCUUCACAGGAGAGAGGUAUGGUUACCAGCGUCUUGCAGCCCUACUCUCUGCGCAGACGUUAUGUGGACAGAUCAAAACCUUCAGAAAACAUGGAUCUGGCGCUGAUGGAAAGCAGCUGCGCA